GGAGAACAUACAAAAUUCAUCAUGAACGAGUUCAACAGCAGCAGCAGCAGCCAGCCAGCCCGUUCGGUUCGUCUGUUCUCGUUACUGCGCACUGGCAUAGACAAAGAAAAAGCAUGCACAGCAGACACAAACGCCCACCCACCAUGGGGAAACAGCUGAUAAAUCAUUCACCUACACGGCCAAGAGAGUGAGAGAGAGAGAAAAGGGCUGCCACAAAGUAACGGAGAGAAGAGAAAUAAAGAGAGAAGGGAGCAGGGAGAGUGUCUCAGUAGGUGGAAGAAGAAGAAAGACGAUCUAUUCCAUAAUCCAAGAGGUAUUAGUUCCCCCAGUCCCAGGUAUAUAUCAGGUAUUUGCUGGCAAGUACAGCGGCUAACGUGGAUUUCCGAAGAAAACACUUGCCCGCCUGCGUCUGCGUCACUAGAAACUGUUUUCCGUUAUUAUUAUUAUUUUUUUUUUAUAAGAGGUGAUAAGAGAUAACAGAAGGCAUCAAUGAUCUGCUGCUCCAGAGUGCAAUAAUCAUAAUUGAAACUAAACUACAUAAGAAAUUAUAUCACAGUCUUGGAAAUAAAUAAAGCUACAAUGGCAGGACAGGA